rnacentral:lncRNA from 1 species
CAGGCCUUUGCGGCCUUGGCACCUUCCUGGCGUCCCCUUGUUCAGACCUGCGAAUUCCCUCUCACCCUCUUCAUCCGCUGAAGGAGGCAGAAUCCCGGGAGCGCUCAUUUUAAGAGGCUGAAGCGAGAGAAGGAAAGACAAGCAAGCCGUAACUCUUAUGGAAGAAGCCAGGCACUGAGAGAAGCUGUAAGGGGCGCUGCUGCGGAGAAAAGCGUCUCCCGGGUUGUACUGGAAGAGUAUUUUGGGGGUGCCAGACAUAGGGCGCUCAGAGGACCCUCUGAGACGGAAUACUACCUCGCUCAGACGGAGCCCAGGCAGAGCCGGAAGCUGCCAGCAGGUGGCAGGAUCCGACCGUUUCCAGCUUCUGGGGCAGCUUGAAUUCUCUCCUCCCUGUAAUCAGCUGAAAUCAAGGCCCAGAAAGGAGGUGAGGAAGUCCGGGGUCCCAGUCCACGGGCCUGCCCUAAUCCCGGCGUCGUGGCACUUCCCAGUCCUCCUCUCGGGCCUGGACGGCGCUGCAAGCCCUGGAGGCAGGGGCCGUCCUCUUCCUCCCCGGUUUGUUCCCGAGACAGCUCUGUGACACCUGCUUACUCCUCCUCUGAGCCCCGCCUCCUCCGAGCUUCAGACCAUUUCCUCUGGACGGUUUCUCAGAGGUGAGGCCGCGCCGAGGAGCAGACCCUUCCCCUCCCUCCCCUGAGCUUCCUGCAGCCCAGGAAGCAAGGCCGGGCUCUCCUGCAGGGAACUGGGCUUCGCAUUCUGCCCUGCCACUCUGGCUGGCUCUCUCGGAAUUUCACCUACUUUUGCUGCUAAUUAACUUAAAUCAAUCGCCAGCACUGCGGAAAAAAAAGUGAAAAG